rfam:Flavobacterium sp. LM5 Flavobacterium_sp_LM5_contig2, whole genome shotgun sequence.
CGCUAGCCCCGAUUGAAGCGGAAAUCCUUUUGUGCCGGGGUUCGGCACAAAAGAUUAUAGCGAAAAGCGGGAACCUUG